rnacentral:rRNA from 2 species
CCUGGCGGCACUAGCGCGGUGGUCCCACCUGACCCCAUGCCGAACUCAGAAGUGAAACGCCGUAGCGCCGAUGGUAGUGUGGGGUCUCCCCAUGU